GCGAAGGUGAAUACAGAAAACAAAUGGAUGAGCCAUGACUAACUGAGAGUAGUGCUCCAAUGCUGCUUGUUCUUGAACCUUUUGAGUCUCUGAAAGAUAUGACCAAUUUCGGUGUUUUGAUUAUAGUGGUAGAGACAACGUCAAACACGCUCCUCCGGCAUUUCUUCCAGGUGUUCGGGUGGGUUGAGGUGACUGUGAAGGCCACAGCAUGAUUCACAUCAUUAAACCUAACACGCCCGCUGUGACUGAAAAUCUGCGUUCAUUAAGUUUUUUUUUUGAUAAAUUGUGUAGUAAUAAAGUAGUCCCACAAGAUGAUGCUGUUUUCCCAUCGCCGGUGUUGGAUCAGGUCCUGAGACUAUGGGCAGCACAUGUUGGACAGGUAUAUUGCAAAGGUCCGAAGACAGACAUAUAACAAAAGUGAUCUUGAAACAAACACAACAAACGAAGUGAAAUGUAAAAUAACUUUAACUCUCGUUGUACAUCAGUCCUAUUAUUUUUCCAGUUUCAUCUCCUUUGUCUCUGCCCUCUUUGUUGGAGGCAGAGUGUUUGUAGUAACACCCAUUCCCUGACUAUUAAGCGUCCAACCAGGAAUACUGGUUUUACAGUGAGAGUCGAGCACAUAGCUGAGAUUCUGUCACACACUGUGUCAGUCUCACAGUUUCGCUGAAGCUGUUAACUUCAGGAGCAAACUUUCUCCGUGGAUACCUUGUUCUGCUCACUUCUUUAUUAAGCGGUUGACCUCGACCCGUUUUAUUUUGAUUUCAGCACGUUCCUGCUGGGCUAAACCACCUGUGGAUUUGAAUUGUGUUACCACCUCUGCUUGGUAAACAUGUCGCACCCCAGCACUCUGGAUUUAGACAGACACAGCAGCUUGGACAAAUCCCGUCGCUCCACCGGUCGAAGCCAGUCCAGGGCCGAGGCCAAGUACGGGGAUGUCCUGUGCGACUUCUGCACAACAAGGAAGCAGAAGGCCGAGAAGUCCUGCUUGGUGUGCCUGGCAUCAUACUGCGAGAGCCACCUCCAGUCUCACUAUGAAUACCCUGCCAUGAUGAAGCACAAGCUGGUCAAAGCCACAGGUCAGAUGAGAGAGAAGAUCUGCGCUCAGCAUGACAAGCUGCUGGAGGCUUUUUGCCGCACCGAUCAGACAUCAGUGUGUGUGCUGUGCAUGAUGGAUGAGCACAAACACCACGACAUUGUCCCAGCUGGAACCGAGAGGACCGAGAAACAAAAACAACUUGGCACCACGCUGCACAAAUCUCAACAGAGGAUUGACCAGAGAAUUAAGAAAUGGCAGGAUCUCCGACAAGCUGUUGAAUCAACUAAACACUCUGCACAAAUGGUCCUGGAGGAGAACGAGCGGAUCUUCACUGAGCUCCUGCUUUCCAUAGAGAGGAAGUACAAUGAAGUCAAGGAGAUGGUCCGCGUCCACGAGAAGACCACCGUGACGCGGGGGGAGAUACUGCUGGACCGCUUGGAGGAGGAGAUCACCCUGCUGAGGAAGAGACACAACGACCUGGAGAAGCUCUCGCACACGGACGAUCACAUACACUUUCUACAGAGUUGGCAGUCUCUGUCAGGCCCCUCCGGAUAUGAAGACCUCAACAACAUCACUGUCGCUCCCUAUUACUCCUUCGAUGCUACCAAGAGAGCCAUCGCCGCACUGAAAUUACAAGUAGAAGAAGUCAGCAAGACAGAAAUGAGCAAAAUCUCAGGAGCAGUGAAGGAAGUCUACAUCACCCAAGAAGUCGACACAAAGACGAGGAGAGAAUCGAUUCUGAUGGAAGAGACGAAGAUAAGAGAGGAGCCGAGAUCAAGGGAAGAGCCGAGAGCAAGAGAAGAAUCGAGAUCAAGAGAAGAACCGAGGACAAGAGAAGAUUUCUUGAAAUAUGCUAGCCAGCUGAUUCUGGAUGUCAACAGUGUCCAUCCCAGCCUUCACCUCUCUGAGGGUAACCGAACAGCCACGAUGAAGAGUGAGCCCAGGAACUACCCUGAGCACCCAGAGAGAUUCGACCACUGGCAGCAGGUGUUGACCAGGGAAAGCCUCAGCGGGUCCCGUUGUUACUGGGAGGUGGACUGGAGGGGGACAGAGAUAGACAUUGCAGUUACCUACAAGGGAAUCCGCCGCAAAGGAAAUGGCAACGAAUGCAGCCUGGGCUGGAACGACAAGUCCUGGAGUCUGUACUGCUCGGACUCCAAAUUCUCCUUCGUGCACAACAACAAGAGCAAAGAUCUUCCAGCUCCAGCAGGGUCCCGUAUUGGCGUCUACCUGGAUCAUGCAGCAGGAGUGCUCGCAUUUUACAGCGUCUCUGAUGGCAUGAGGCUCCUGCACAGGGUCCAGACUACAUUUACGGAGCCCCUCUAUCCCGCAUUCAGUGUGUGGGGCUUCGGCACUACUAUCAGACUGUAGGAGAGUCACUGUAGAGUCCAGAUUCAUUCUGGUUUGAUUCAUUUUUUGUUAAAAGUUAUUUUGUCAUCAUUAAUCAUUUACUAGAGAUUUAAAGAUUUUUGUUCUUUUGAUCACUGACUGUUGUUUUUGGGGCCAUCUACUCUGAAGAGAGGAGGACAGAAUCUCAGUUUUAUAUGUGACUUUUGAUUUUCAGGUUUUUCCUUGAUGCCACAUCUCUCUUUCUUUAUUAUUUUAAAGCGUGUUAUAUUUAUGUUAUCAAUGAUAAAUGCUGUCUUUAAAAAUAAAGUCUAGUUUCAAAAGUUAUGACCGAUUUAUCUGGCACUUUGAGGAUUUGCACAAGACAGCUGUGUCUGACCUUGUUAGAAACACAUCAUGUGGACACUGGGUCAACAUCACUGGGGCUGGAGUUGCUGUUUUUCACACUCAUGUCGGCCUAUUAGCCAUCUUGGCUCCAUUAUUACAGAAAAUCAAAACUGAGCCUAACAGUGGCGGGUUGUUCCACAGAAAUGUCCACUUUUGGAAGGGCAAAAUGUCUGGACAUUGUUAUACCCAUUAAUAAAAGUAACACCAAUGACAGUAACACCAGUGACGAUAUUCAUUAAAAGUGUGUUUUACAAAAGGCUGCUGCAUUGCAUCAAACCACAUGAUCAAU